AGUGAACGCUGGCGGUAGGCCUAACACAUGCAAGUCGAACGGCAGCACAGUAAGCGCUUGCUCUUACGGGUGGCGAGUGGCGGACGGGUGAGGCAUACAUCGGAAUCUACUUUUUCGUGGGGGAUAACGUAGGGCCACUUACGCUAAUACCGCAUAUGACCUACGGGUGAAAGCAGGGGAUCUUCGGACCUUGCGCGUUUGAAUGAGACGAUGUCGGAUUAGCUAGUUGGCGGGGUAAAGGCCCACCAAGGCGACGAUCCGUAGCUGGUCUGAGAGGAUGAUCAGCCACACUGGAACUGAGACACGGUCCAGACUCCUACGGGAGGCAGCAGUGGGGAAUAUUGGACAAUGGGCGCAAGCCUGACCCAGCCAUACCGCGUGGGUGAAGAAGGCCUUCGGGUCGUAAAGCCCUUUUGUUGGGAAAGAAAAGCAGUAGGUUAAUACCCCGCUGUUCUGACGGUACCCAAAGAAUAAGCACCGGCUAACUUCGUG
rnacentral:rRNA from 1 species